GGCAACGUGGCCGAGCGGUUAAGGCGUAAGACUCGAAUUCGGGGUUCAUUCCGCGAUAGUAAUCUUAUCUCUUCGGAGUCGCAUGUUCGAAUCAUGCCGUUGUCG